CGGGUGAGUAAUGUAUGGGGAUCUGCCUGAUGGCGGGGGAUAACUACUGGAAACGGUAGCUAAUACCGCAUAACGUCGCAAGACCAAAGAGGGGGACCUUGGGGCCUCUUGCCAUCGGAUGUGCCCAGAUGGGAUUAGCUAGUAGGUGGGGUAAUGGCUCACCUAGGCGACGAUCCCUAGCUGGUCUGAGAGGAUGACCAGCCACACUGGAACUGAGACACGGUCCAG
rnacentral:rRNA from 1 species